GGCCUUAGUGGCGCACGGGUGCGUAACGCGUGGGAAUCUGCCCUCAGGUUCGGAAUAACAGCGAGAAAUUGCUGCUAAUACCGGAUGAUAUCGCGAGAUCAAAGAUUUAUCGCCUGAGGAUGAGCCCGCGUAGGAUUAGCUAGUUGGUGUGGUAAAGGCGCACCAAGGCGACGAUCCUUAGCUGGUCUGAGAGGAUGAUCAGCCACACUGGGACUGAGACACGGCCCAGACUCCUACGGGAGGCAGCAGUGGGGAAUAUUGGACAAUGGGCGAAAGCCUGAUCCAGCAAUGCCGCGUGAGUGAUGAAGGCCUUAGGGUUGUAAAGCUCUUUUACCCGGGAUGAUAAUGACAGUACCGGGAGAAUAAGCUCCGGCUAACUCCGUGCCAGCAGCCGCGGUAAUACGGAGGGAGCUAGCGUUAUUCGGAAUUACUGGGCGUAAAGCGCACGUAGGCGGCUUUGUAAGUUAGAGGUG
rnacentral:rRNA from 1 species